rnacentral:rRNA from 1 species
AACAGAGGGUGCAAACGUUGUUCGGAAUUACUGGGCGUAAAGCGCGUGUAGGCUGCUUCGCAAGUCGGAUGUGAAAGCCCUGGGCUCAACCCAGGAAGUGCAUUCGAAACUGCAGAGCUGGAGUCCUGGAGAGGAAGGCGGAAUUCUCGGUGUAGAGGUGAAAUUCGUAGAUAUCGAGAGGAACACCGGUGGCGAAGGCGGCCUUCUGGACAGUGACUGACGCUGAGACGCGAAAGCGUGGGGAGCAAACAGG